rnacentral:snoRNA from 1 species
UGACAAUGAUGAGAAUUAUCAGUUCUGCUUAUGAAGGCUUCUGAUUAUACCCAAAUACCAAAACCUCUGAUGG